AUGGGCGCAGCCUGAUGCAGCGACGCCGCGUGCGGGAUGACGGCCUUCCGGUUGUAAACCGCUUUUGACUGGGAGCAAGCCCUUCGGGGUGAGUGUACCUUUCGAAUAAGCACCGGCUAACUACGUGCCAGCAGCCGCGGUAAUACGUAGGGUGCAAGCGUUAUCCGGAAUUAUUGGGCGUAAAGGGCUCGUAGGCGGUUCGUCGCGUCCGGUGUGAAAGUCCAUCGCUUAACGGUGGAUCCGCGCCGGGUACGGGCGGGCUUGAGUGCGGUAGGGGAGACUGGAAUUCCCGGUGUAACGGUGGAAUGUGUAGAUAUCGGGAAGAACACCAGUGGCGAAGGCGGCCUACUGGGCACCAACUGACGCUGAGGCUCGAAAGUGUGGGUAGCAAACAGGAUUAGAUACCCUGGUAGUCCAAGGGCGAAUUC
rnacentral:rRNA from 1 species